GAAAAUGCAAUGAUAAAGAAGAGUAGAUGAUAUUUUAAAUCUUAGAGAGCUUGGGGAAGGUGAAAGCCUAGCAUUUAAAACCAUUGAAGGAAGCUUUGGAGCAGUGAAUAGAAAGCCUUUUGGCGUAGUAUAUUUAUGGGGUUAUUCCCUUAAAGAUAAAUUAAGUGGAUUAAGAAAUUAAUCAAUUUAGGUGGUAACGCGGAAUUAGUCUUUCGUCCUAAGU
rnacentral:ncRNA from 1 species